rnacentral:rRNA from 1 species
AGUAACGCGUGAGGAACCUGCCUCAAAGAGGGGGACAACAGUUGGAAACGACUGCUAAUACCGCAUAAGCCCACAGCUCGGCAUCGAGCAGAGGGAAAAGGAGUGAUCCGCUUUGAGAUGGCCUCGCGUCCGAUUAGCUGGUUGGUGAGGUAACGGCCCACCAAGGCGACGAUCGGUAGCCGGACUGAGAGGUUGAACGGCCACAUUGGGACUGAGACACGGCCCAG